GAACCCGAGAUCUAACAAAUCUCUGACUCAAUCCGUACCUAAAUCCUCCGCAAGAUUCGUCUGCUCCGAUGACAAAUCCUCGACUACACCGCAGUCCAUGAAAGCGUUCUCCGCGGCUGUGGCUCUCUCUUCCAUCCUCCUCUCAGCUCCUAUGCCAGCUGUUGCCGACAUCUCCGGUUUGACUCCUUGCAAGGAAUCGAAACAGUUCGCUAAGCGGGAGAAGCAACAGAUCAAGAAGCUUCAGUCUUCUCUUAAGCUAUACGCUCCUGAGAGUGCUCCUGCUCUUGCCCUUAACGCUCAGAUCGAGAAAACCAAACGCAGGUUCGUUCUUCUCCCUCUUCUCUUUAUCUCCUUUAUCGUUAAAAACAGAGCUUUUCCUCUGUUCUUGAUUCUUGUUAGAUCCAUUGCUUUAGUAUGAGUUCUUGAUUAGUUAAGUUUGAGGAAGUUCUGAAACUGUUGGAUUGAUUUGGUGCAUACACUGAUAGCUAAAGAAAAUGUAUGUUAGGUUCGAGAACUACGGGAACUAUGGAUUGCUAUGCGGGUCAGAUGGUCUACCACACCUGAUAGUGAACGGAGACCAGAGGCAUUGGGGAGAGUUCAUUACACCAGGGAUUCUAUUCCUUUACAUUGCGGGAUGGAUCGGGUGGGUUGGAAGAACCUACUUGAUAGCUAUUAGUGGAGAGAAGAAACCCGCGAUGAAAGAGAUCAUCAUCGAUGUUCCUUUGGCUAGUCGGAUCAUCUUCCG
rnacentral:lncRNA from 1 species